rnacentral:rRNA from 1 species
CACGUAGGGUGCGAGCGUUGUCCGGAAUUAUUGGGCGUAAAGAGCUCGUAGGCGGUGUGUCGCGUCGGCCGUGAAAACCUGCAGCUUAGCUGUGGGCUUGCGGGUCGAUACGGGCAUCACUGGAGUUCGGCAGGGGAGACUGGAAUUCCUGGUGUAGCGGUGAAAUGCGCAGAUAUCAGGAGGAACACCGGUGGCGAAGGCGGAUCUCUGGGCCGAUACUGACGCUGAGGAGCGAAAGCGUGGGGAGCGAACAGG